rnacentral:rRNA from 1 species
UACGUAGGGCCCGAGCGUUGUCCGGAAUCAUUGGGCGUAACGAGCUUGUAGUCGGCUAUUUAAGUCCUGCGUGAAAUCCUGCGGCUCAACCGCAGACGGUCGUGGGAAACUGGAUGGCUAGAGUGCGGGAGAGGAGAGAGGAAUUCCCGGUGUAGCGGUGAAAUGCGCAGAUAUCGGGAAGAACACCCGUGGCGAAGGCGGCGACCUGGGUAGAUACUGACGCUGAGGUGCGAAAGCGUGGGGAGCAAACAGG